UAUGCUUCUCAUUAGCUGGAACCGUAAAGAGCUCAGUUUUACCUGCGCUGAGGGAUCGCUAAAUUCCUAUUGGCAUCUGAGUGCACAGUCCCAUGUUGAAAGUGAGGUCAUGUUUCUCCUGGAUUGUGCCUGUAUCUGAUGAGCCUGGGCUGGCGUGAAUCCGAGACAAUGAAAUAAUCACAGCCAUUAGCUCACCCGGGCCCUAUUAAGAUGCGGCCUGGCUUUCCACCCAUUUCUCCUGCCUGGAAAAACUGACACAGUCAUGGUUUGUAAAGGUUUGUGGAGAAGGAACUGCUUCCACGACCGAAACGGCACCACCCUACUUAGACCUGGGACCACUCUGCUGCUUGAUCUCAGGAAACGGCACUUCAGGAGCCGUGAAUUUUUAGUCUAACCAUGUGGACUAGUAUACCAGUUGUUCUCAACCCAGGAUGAUAUUGCCCCCCAGGGGACAUCUGGCAACUUCUGAAGUCAUUUUGGCUGUCACAACUGGAAGGGAAUCCUAAUGGGUCCACCCAGGGAUACUGCUAAACGUCCUACGAUGCACAAGACAAUUCCCACAAUCGAGACUUAUCCAACCCAAAAUGUCAACAGUGCCUAGGCCAAAAAAACCCUGUGGUGUAUAAUACAGAUAUACACGGAGUAAAUGUAACUGAA